CGAAAGUCAGACGCAGCGACGCCGCGUGGGCGAUGAAGGCCUUCGGGUUGUAAAGCCCUUUUAUGGGGGAAGAGAAAAAGGACGGUACCCCAGGAAUAAGUCCCGGCUAACUACGUGCCAGCAGCCGCGGUAAAACGUAGGGGACAAGCGUUAUCCGGAUUCACUGGGCGUAAAGAGCGUUGAGGCGGUUCCGUAAGUUGGGCGUGAAAGCUCCGGGCUUAACUCGGAGAUGUCGUUCAAUACUGCGGGGCUUGAGGACAGCAGAGGAAGGUGGAAUUCCCGGUGUAGUGGUGAAAUGCGUAGAUAUCGGGAGGAACACCCGUGGCGAAGGCGGCCUUCUGGGCUGUUCCUGACGCUGAAGGCGAAAGCUAGGGGAGCGAACGGGAUUAGAUACCCCGGUAGUCCUAGCUGUAAACGAUGGAUGCUGGGUGUGGGGGGUGUAAAUUCCCUCUGUGCCGAAGCAAACGCGUUAAGCAUCCCGCCUGGGGACUACGGCCGCAAGGCUAAAACUCAAACGAAUUGACGGGGGCCCGCACAAGCAGCGGAGCGUGUGGUUUAAUUCGAUGCUACACGAAGAACCUUACCUGGGUUUGACAUGCACGUGGUAGGGAACCGAAAGGGGACCGACCUUCGGGAGCGUGCACAGGUGCUGCAUGGCUGUCGUCAGCUCGUGCCGUGAGGUGUCGGGUUAAGUCCCGUAACGAGCGCAACCCUUGCCCUUAGUUACAAGUGUCUAAGGGGACUGCCCGGGACAACUGGGAGGAAGGUGGGGAUGACGUCAAGUCAGCAUGGCCUUUAUAUCCAGGGCUACACACACGCUACAAUGGCCGGUACAAUAGGUUGCGAAGUCGUGAGGCGGAGCCAAUCCUCAAAGCCGGUCUCAGUUCGAAUUGCAGUCUGCAACUCGACUGCAUGAAGCUGGAGUUGCUAGUAAUCGCAGGUCAGCUAUACUGCGGUGAAUACGUUCCCGGGCCUUGUACACACCGCCCGUCACGUCAUGGAAGCUGGCAACGCCUGAAGCCGGUGAGCUAACCCGAAAGGGAGGCAGCCGUCGAGG
rnacentral:rRNA from 1 species